rnacentral:rRNA from 1 species
GGAGGAUCCGAGCGUUAUCCGGAUUUAUUGGGUUUAAAGGGAGCGUAGGCGGAUUGUUAAGUCAGUUGUGAAAGUUUGCGGCUCAACCGUAAAAUUGCAGUUGAUACUGGCAGUCUUGAGUGCAGUAGAGGUGGGCGGAAUUCGUGGUGUAGCGGUGAAAUGCUUAGAUAUCACGAAGAACUCCGAUUGCGAAGGCAGCUCACUGGAGUGUAACUGACGCUGAUGCUCGAAAGUGUGGGUAUCAAACAGGAUUAGAUACCCUGGUAGUCCACACAGUAAACGAUGAAUACUCGCUGUUUGCGAUAUACAGUAAGCGGCCAAGCGAAAGCAUUAAGUA